ACAAACGCUGGCGGCGUGCCUAACACAUGCAAGUCGAACGAGAAAGGGACCUUCGGGUCCUGAGUAAAGUGGCGCACGGGUGAGUAACGCGUGGAUAAUCUGCCCUAAAGUCGGGAAUAACUCAUCGAAAGGUGGGCUAAUACCGGAUAAUGCUGCUUUCGCCGUGGCGAUGCAGCCAAAGGGGGCCUCUAUUUAUAAGCUCUUGCUUAAGGAUGAGUCCGCGUACCAUUAGCUAGUUGGUGGGGUAAUGGCCUACCAAGGCGACGAUGGUUAGCUGGUCUGAGAGGAUGAUCAGCCACACUGGAACUGAGAUACGGUCCAGACUCCUACGGGAGGCAGCAGUGAGGAAUCUUGCGCAAUGGGGGAAACCCUGACGCAGCAACGCCGCGUGAGUGAGGAAGGUUGUCGGUGUGUAAACUCCUUUUAUAUGUCAAGAAAAUGACGGUAGCAUAUGAAUAAGCACCGGCUAACUCCGU
rnacentral:rRNA from 1 species